ensembl:lncRNA
GGUGAAGCGUUUGAAGCAGGAAGGUACUUCACACAGCUCCACUGAUCGGCUGAAGAUCAUUGUGAGGAUAGGGGCCAGCUGGUUAGCACAGACAUUCAGGCAUGAAAAGGGGCACAGCAUACAGGCAUGGUGCCUUCACUUACUUCUACACCACUAACAGUAUUAGCUGAAAAGAUUGGGGAUAGAGCCUGAUAGAUGUAACCCUAUGUAAGGAUCCUUUUCUGACCCGUUUUUUGGUUUCCCCGAUAGCCCAUCCACAUGUUUUCUGUCAUUCCCCUGUUUGUUGUUGUCUGCAAUGUGCUCUGUGUUUUUUCCUCUGCCACCCUCAGGACACCUCCCAUGUUGACUCCUUUGAUUGGUGCACAGCUGCAGAGGAUAAAGCCGAUUGUCAACUGGCCGAAACUCCUGAUUGUCAUCCAUUCUCAUCUCUUGGCAACAUUUAAGCCCUGUUCCUGCAGGCCUUGGAUGCCAGUUCCUACAGUCAUUUGAGCUGGACCCCAGUAUCCACACAGUCGAGAUUGCCUGCUGCCUGGAUGUCGGAACACCGAACACCACACCGUUGGCCAGCUGGGUCCCUUAUAUUGAA